rnacentral:lncRNA from 1 species
AGUCUUUUCAAAGCACAGGACUGCGUCUCUCACCACCACAGCCAGGCAGCUGCUCUUCUAGCUUCUGAUUAUCAUCCCCAAGCCAUGCCUUGGUCAUUUCUGAGUUGAACAAAAUCAUGGAAGAUGUGACUGUCAAGUGGAGACAUCGAGCCUUUCUGCUGCCCUCAGCAUCUCCCAGCAGCCUCUCUGGUUCAAGACUUUCUUUGUCUCUAGAAGUUGCUCCAGGAUCCCAGACUGUAUUGCUAAGCCAUUGCCAACGAUUUGCACUUCUGUCGUCCCUUUCAUCUGGGAACCACAAGGCCAUCUGAAACUUCUCUGAUCAGCUUCAGAGGAGUCCCCUCUAUCAGUUAAGAAUUGUACUCUACACUGAGAAGCAGGUAUUGCAUUUGUUGGUCGCAAGGAUAAUCCCCCAAAUUCCCACAGCAUCCAGAUGAAGUUGUCUACUGUCCACAGGAUGUUCAGCAAAGACACCGGGAUGUAUUUGCCUGAAGAAGAACGGAAGAGAACUGAAAAGAGACAUCUAAGGGGAUGACGUUGUCAUCGGGCCAUUAAUACCUGAACUGCAUUUUAUUUCACAGAGGGCCUCAGGUACUCACAUAGGUAAGCAGAUACACGGAAAUGAAAAGAAUCCUCAUUAUUGGUCCAAAAUCUAUUAUAAUCCUAUAAACCCUAAGUGUGCAGUUUUAAUGCCCCCAAUUGUCCCAAUCCAUGGGUUAUAAAAGAGUUAACUUAUUUUCCCUAAAUGUCAAUCAAAGAUCUGGGCAUGGACCCUGAGUUUCAGGAAGCAACUGACAUCCUGAUAUUUAAUCAAUGAGGUAUUUUGUUUAUUUAAGCAUUCCUUCUCAAUAUUUGUAUCCCAAGCCCUACAGUGUGGAAUCAAUGUCUGAGAAACCAGGAAGAAAAUCUGACCCAAAGCUAGGUAAGUGCCAGUUUCUGAUGCAGGAAGAAUAAAGUUAAAUCCACCCGGGCUCAGUGAAGGAUGACAUGUCACUCUUUAAGGUUUCCUCUGUCCGAUUGCUGUAUGAACCCAUAUCCAGUAGUGUUAUAGUAGAUGUCUUCCCAGGAGGAAGAUUCCUCAUCUUCAACCCAAGUUUGCUUUUGUUCAAUGCAUUCACACUGUAGGAUCCUUCCUGAGAUUUGCUGUAAUAGAUUUGACUUGUGCUUCCAUGAGGUACCAUCACUUGUCUUAAAGGGUGGAAGGAAGCCAAUGGAUGGUAACCUGAAUGUGGGAGGGAAAACUCCAUUUUCCUCUGAAGGCGGAGCCAAGUGCAAAGUGAGAGCAUUGUAUUUUGGGUCUAAUGCACCUCUUGUUCAGCUCGGUGCAGCCUGAAUCUACAUACCAUUUUUCUUAGUGGAAAGGCAGAGAGAGAAGCUGAUACCUUCAGGAACAGCGAAUGCCACACUUGUUUCUGCUCCCCCUGGAUUUAUCAUGGAAGGUGAUCUAAUCCAUCCAUUCCCAGAAGAGAGUGUGUUGUAGCACUGGGUAUUUAUUCUCAGCAUGCCAAAGUUCUGUGCCCACAGAAAAGGUCCACCUCGCCUACUGUCAAGACUUUGGGUAGAUGUGUGGAUGCUCAGAUGCCUUGCUCCUUUCUCCUUUCUCAUGCAUGUUUCUGGCUUUGUGUAUUCCCUGGAUUUUGCCCAUGUCCUUCAUCACUGUGGGCUCCAAGAUACACUUUACUUGGUCUGUGAAAAACAGCUGACUCAACUGAAAACCUCCAUGGACUUCUUCACUAUUGAUUCAGGGUGGACUCUACUUGCAUUGGUGAAAUUCCAGCCUGGGUUACUUCUGUCCAGUCUUAAUACUGAAAUUCUAGAGAGUAGCCACCCAAUCUGGAAGCCACGACAAAACUCUUGAUGGACGUGGGGAACUAGGUCAAUAUGUCACAUCCACAUCAUCCUAGAUCAGAUUGCCUGGGGACACAAUGACCAAGCUUUCCCAUCCAUAGAAGACAUGCUUCAGGCUGUCCCUACAGGCCCCCUCCAGCUCUUUAAGAGAGAUCCUUAGGGAGGCCCUGGUCUUUGUCAGAGACUGGGGUUGGUGGAGGGUGGCUAAUCUGUAAGUCUCCAGAAAACUAUGUGUCUGUCCUAUACAAUCUCAGCAAGCUGUUGGCCCAAAGUCUUGUGUUUUGCACUAACCAUGUAUCUCUCACUUCAUAUUAAACAAUACCCUCAACUUUUCAUCCUGAAAUCUCUUCUUGGUACAUUUGUUCAUUUUUCAUUCAUCUUUUCCUUUCUAAAUUUUCAAUGAUGUCCCUGAAUCAGGUGCAGAGAGAUGGCUCAAUUAAAAUAGUAGGGAGUGAACAUUACACUGGAAAUAAAUGUGGUAUAUUUAAGAAUUUAUGACAGGUUUUGAGACAGAUGUUGAUUUUACUUCAAAAUAAAGUACAGUUAUUUUAUGCAA